AAUUAUAUAUAAACAAUAUCAACAUAUGAAUAUUCAUAAAUCAAAAUAUUGAUAAAUUUAUAGUCGUGAUAAUCAAACAAAUAAUUACACAUAAACUGUCAUCAAAAAGGAAGUAUUUAUGAAUGAAAUAAAUCAGGAUUAGGAUUGGAAUCUGUUUUAUUAACAGUCAUCAAAAAGGAAGAAUUUAUGAAUGAAAUAAAUCAGGAGUAGGAUUGGAAUCUGUUUUAUUAACAGUCAUCAAAAAGGAAGUAUUUAUGAAUGAAAUAAAUCAGGAUUAGGAUUGGAAUCUGUUUUAUUAACAGUCAUCAAAAAGGAAGAAUUUGUGAAUGAAAUAAAUUAUGAUUGUAAUCUGUUAUAUUUUUUAUUAUAAUGUAAACUGAUAUACACGCUUUAACACAAUCAAAUCUGUAAUAUUUCUAAUAUUCAUGUAAUAACUUAUAAUCACACUUUGAUCAUAAUCGACAAAAGUGUAGUUUUGGUCCUGAUGCUGAUAUAUAUAUUAAACUCCUUGGAUGAGAAGUGGCAUCCAGUGUUCUAGAGAGAGUAAGCUCACUGUGUGAACCAUCAGACAAUAAGUGGUAUCCGGUGUUCAAGAAAGAGUAAGCUCACUGUGUAAACUCCUCGUAUUCGUAUAAGAAGUGGCAUCCAGUGUUCUAGAGAGAGUAAGCUCACUGUGUGAACCAUCAAACGAUAAGUGGUAUCCGGUGUUCAAGAAAGAGUAAGCCCACUGUUAAAACUCCUCGUAUGAGAAGUGGCAUCCAGUGUUCUAGAGAGAGUAAGCUCACUGUGUGAACCAUCAAACGAUAAGUGGUAUCUGGUGUUCAAGAAGGCGUAAGCUCACUGUGUAAACUCCUCGUAUGAGAAGUGGCAUCCAGUGUUCUAGAGAGAGUGUUAUUGGAUGUUAAAGAAAGAGAAAACAUACCACUUAUAAUUACACUUUGGUCAGUAUCUACCAAAAUAUAUUUUUGAUACUGAAACUGCUAAAUAGCUGUUGGUAGAUAAUACUGUGAAAUAUACAGUGAUAAAAUAUAAACUGUGACGAUUCAAAAACGAAUAGAUUGCGUGGUUUUAUGCUAUUCUAGUUUUAAAUAAAAUCUGUGAACAAUUCUUGAUAGAUAUUACUGAAUGUUAGGAAAUAUAACAAAGAAUUGUUAGCUUGUUGUUAUGUAGGCUCAUCAAUGAGGAGUGGUAUCAGAUGUUCUAGAGAACGAGUAAACAUACAAUGUGAACUCCUCGAAUGAUAAGUGGCAUCAAGUGUUCUAGAGAGUAAGCAUACUGUGUGAACUCAUCAAAUGAGAAGUGAUAGGAGGUGGUCUAGAAAGAGAACAUACUAGGUGAACUCGUCAUCAUACAAGAAGUGACAUAAGGUGUUCUAGAGAGUAAGCAUACUAGAUGAACACAUCAAAUGAGAAGUGAUAUGAGGUGUUAUAUAUAUAGUAAGCAUAUUACAUUUAUGUGACCUCCUGAAGUGACAUCAGGUGUUCGAGAAAGAGUAAGCAUAAAACGCGAUACCAGGUGUUCCAGAAUUAUUAAACAUACUAUGUGAAUUGCUUAAACGAGGAGUGGUAUCAAGUGAACGAAUAAUAUAAUCGGGAAAUUUAGAAAUUCGUAUGUGCAAAGAUACAUAUAAAUGAUAAGUGAUAUUGGAUGUUCUAUAAUUGUUAGGAUUUAAUCAUGUGGUGUGGUUCUGCUAAAAGUACAGGUCGACAGAGGUUGAGGUCGGACAGUGAAUGUUCCAGUUAUGAUGAAGAAUAUAAAAUAGUUGUUGUUGGUUCAGCUGAUGUCGGUAAAACAGCUUUGUGUCAGUGUUUUGUGAAUGUUGAAGACAAUCAAAGACAGAAUUUACAGAAAACGUCAAAAGGAAGACGAGCUGAGUUUAACACGUGGGAGGCAGUGGAUGGCGAUACAUGUUGUAUUAGAUUGUUCGAACUGCGCAUGUCUGCCCAGGGCGAUGAUGAUGAACAGAUUGUGAAGUCAUUAACCCAGGGAGCAGAUGGGUUUUUGUUGAUAUAUUCUAUAUGUGAUAUGGGAAGUUUCCAGUCCACAAUCAAGGUGAACAGUAUGUUACAGAAAUUACGAGGGAAUAUAGAAACCCCGCUAGUAUUAGUUGGCAAUAAGGCAGAUGGAAUGAGCGGACGUCAAGUUACAGUGUCAUGUGGUAGAGACCUUGCUUUUGAUCUGGGAUCUGCUUUCUACGAAACUUCCCGUUAUUUUGAUAGUCACCAUAUUACAAAUAUAUUUCAUGACGUCAUACGCCAAGUUCGGUGCGUGCGAACGAGAACAAAAUUUCAGGAACAGACUUUUACGAAAGUUCGCGGUUUUAUUCAUAGACUUAGUUUCAAGGGGAAACGAAAAUCUUUAAAAUCAGCACCAACGAGCUGAUUCUAUUAAACGACAUUGGUAUUUAUUAUAAAAUCAACUUUUAUUUAUUUAUUUUGUGUAUUUAGUAUACAUUGGAAAAGGUCCCUGUGUUUUUAUUGGAGAAAUAUGCCCCUAUGUUUUUAAUUGCUAUGUUGGUGAUAUAUGUCUCUGUGAAUUCCGAUAAAUUAUGUUUUAUUAAAACUGACCUUUGA